rnacentral:pre_miRNA from 1 species
CCAAGAGAAAGCGUGAAGCUGCCAGCAUGAUCUAACUUGCAGACAAGAAAUCAGCUCGCUGUUAGUCAAACAAGAAAAUCAGCUCGCUGGUUUUGAACAGGAAGGCGGCUGAGGCUUCUUCUUCGGAGUGAUGGUUAGAUCAUGCUGUGACAGUUUCACUCUUUCCCUGU